AUGUCUCCCGUGCGGCCAGUGUGUCGUCCGCUACGCCGUCGUGACCUGCAACACUUUGGGGCAAACACCAUCGUAACCUUCUCCCUCCGCACAAGAAGUUCACCGCCUUGCUCGCGAGAAGUUCGUGCAACCAGCCAUCUCUCACCGCUAUUUUGCAUCGGGAUGCCAUCCGUCGAUUUGCAGAGAAAACAAAAGUUCAGUGCAUACGUCCUUCAAUUCACCAUCUCUCACAUUGUUAGUUUAAAAAGAAGCACAAGACGGAGCUGGCAGGUGGAUGUGUUGUAUCAGAACAUGAAGCGCUGGUUGAAGCUAGUCCCAUGCGGAGCUACUAGUGCUUCUCCUUUUGUAAUUGAUUAG
rnacentral:rRNA from 1 species